rnacentral:tRNA from 1 species
GCCGGAGUGGCGGAAUAGGUAGACGCGACGGACUCAAAAUCCGUUGGGUGUUUCACCUGUGGGGGUUCGAUUCCCUUCUCCGGCAC